UUAUUUUGGGCAGAAGUAGCAGCAAAUGUAAAGCUAACGCGUUGCUUACUGUUUUAUAAAAUGUAGGGAAACUGCAACUGGUCUUAGUUUAAAAAUGCUUAAAUGAGUUUGAAAGGAAAGCUAUUUGUAGUAAAGAUCACUAUUUGUUCACUAUUUGUUUCUUUUCACUUCCUCUUUUCUUAUUGCACCUCCUUUACUACACUUCCUGGUUUCUCACUCUCUCCUUUGAUUGGUUGUUGUUUGCACUCUGUCACUAAUUAAUUAAUUAGAUUGAAUUCACCUGCCUACUCCUUAUUUAACACUCACAUGGCGCGUCAGUUCAGCAAUGGUAAGGUGGCUUUUACUCCUAUUUUAGUUACCCCUCACCCUUUUUAAUUUAUCCUAAGUACUUUAUUUAUCUUUAUUUUCUUUAGAAAGUCAUUUGACUUGUUUAUUGUACUAAUAUUAUUUUAUUUGUUUUUCAGCAUGGAUGUUCAAUCCCAUGUGUGGUUAGUCUGAGAAAUAAAGUGAGGACGCUGCUUAGUGUCAUUAUUCACAUCACAUGGUGUGUGCAGGUGUUUCCUCGCUCUGUGCUGUAGCUCUUGAGGAACUCUGUCGACGUCUUCCAGGAGGAUCCCCCAUCGGUGGCCGUCUUCCUGCUCAGGUGUGAACAUCGUGAUGUAAGUGGGACAGUGGUUGACAUUGAGCUGUUAAAGUGUGAGAACAUGAAUGGAAGAAAUGCUGCCCUGCAGUGAUUGGGUGUUGGGUGCAGGUAUAAAUGAUGCGUCUCGAUGGAGCUUCCCUGCUGUGUUUUCAUGGCUCCACAAUGAGGGCGGUGCUGGUUGUGUCCCCUCUGGAUGCACAGAAGGUCCUAGGUCAGCUUCUAGCACAGGACCGGCGCUGAUAGAGCAGGCCAUACGCCCGUCCAGCUCUGCAGACUCGAAGGUGGUGGAAAGGAGAAAUCAAAUUAUACAGCAUACCCCCACGCGAGCAUCUCCACCUCAAAGGCAGAGAAGAGGCUGAAACUGUCAUCAGGAGUGCAUGACAAAGGUGCGGUUACAAUGUGAAGUCACUCAGAAUUUUAUUUCUUCAUUUUUAGCGUGAUGUGAUAGGAUGUAAUUUUGAAUUUUUUAAAACAUAGAUUCAGGAUGUUUUCCUGCUUCCAUAUAGCCAUAGACCAGUUGAACAAUAUUCUGACCUCCCCUUGUGAAGCUGACUAUGAUAUGGACUUUUUACUGUUUGAUUAAUAAUAUAAUAAUUAAUAUACUUUAAUUUUCAGAUUUCUAGUGUUACAUUUCCUCACAAACAAACAUGGAAGAAAAAUGAGCGUUGUGUGUAGAGAAAAAUUGUACUUGAAACAAAAACUACAUUCCAUUCAUAAGUUUUGAGAAAUGGUAGUUGCACUGGAAGUAACCUGUACAUUUAGAAAGAAAACAAUCACAGUGGUUCUGCAUGCCAUGCUGUCCAAAUCUGAACCAUGAAUGAUUGUGUAGUUGUAGACAUUUUCAGUUGACAAGAAUUAACGCUUUAGUUUAAAUAGGGUGAGAGACGAACACAUUUACUAUGAACUUGACAUCAGUAAGCUGAUGUUUGAACUUGUGACUUGAUGUGUUACGGUUAUGUUAGACGCUGGCUUGUGUGUUUUAAGGUGUUUUCUGUAGCUCCCCGGUGCCUGCAACACUCAUGAGGCCCGAGACCAUGACACUCCCACCACCAUGAUCGACUGCAUGCAAGACACACUUGUAGUCCUCCGCCGCACACGCUUGACACCAUCUAAACCAAAUAAAUUUAUCUUGGUCUCAUCAGACCACAAGACAUGGUUCCAGUAAUCCAUGUCAUUAGUCUGCUUGUCUUCAGCAAACUGUUUCCAGGCUUUCUUGUGCAUCAUCUUUAGAAGAGACUUCCUUCUGCGACGACAGCCAUGCAGACCAAUUUGAUGCACAGCGUAUGGUCUGAGCACACAUCAAGCUCUUCUAUAGAGAUAGGCUCAUCCAGUCUUGCAGCAAGGUCUAGUCUAAUCUUAGGGGGGGCAAAGAAACUGUUAAACGCUGUACAGUCAUUGGAUUGUUCAGCAGUAUAAAGGGAGGCAUAAAAUUGUUUUAACUGCUCAUUAAUUAGUUUGGGUUCUGUGGUUAUACCUGUGGAGUUUGGAUCUGUGGAAUUUGGUGUGAAGCUGACUCCUGUCUCAAGUAAGCUAGAAGCUUACUUAGCUUUAUCCCUCUGCUCAUAAUAAGUACAUCUCCAUUUAGAAAGUAGUUCCUCUGCACAGGUGGUAGAAAAUUCUGCUUGAAGCAGCAACGCUUCAAGUCGUUCUUAUAUAAAUCUGGUGUUGGAGCAGUAGAGUAGACCCCAUCAAUCUGUGCAAUCUGCUUAGAUAUACCUGCCAAUCUCUUACCUCUAGUUUUAGCAUCGUGAGCACAGUAAGAGAUAAUUUCCCCCCCAGUAAAUAUGCUUUUAAUGACUCCAAUAACAAUGAGGCAGAAAUUUCAAAACAGAAGUGAAUACCAACAGAAGACUAUUGCAGGGGAUUUGGGCACAUUUUGUUUCCCUACCCACACAUGUGUCGCUUAACUCACGAAUGCACAAUCCUUACAAGUUAUACCUUGUUGUAAAUCAGGCUUUCCAACGAUAUCAAAUACAACACCAAUUAUUAUCAUUAAAGGGGCCAAAUAAUUGACCAAAAAUAACUAUUUUUGAGGAGUUUAGUUUCCCUGUCACUCGUACAUAUCUACCAUUUGGAUCAGAUAAGACGUCUGAGCAAAUAAAAUUAACCAACUUAUUAAUUAGUUCAGAUCCAGAGAGCAAUAACACCAAAUUU